rnacentral:rRNA from 1 species
CGGACGGGUGAGUAACGCGUGGGUAACCUGCCUCAUACAGGGGGAUAACAGUUAGAAAUGGCUGCUAAUACCGCAUAAGCGCACAGGACCGCAUGGUCUGGUGUGAAAAACUCCGGUGGUAUGAGAUGGACCCGCGUCUGAUUAGCUAGUUGGAGGGGUAACGGCCCACCAAGGCGACGAUCAGUAGCCGGCCUGAGAGGGUGAACGGCCACAUUGGGACUGAGACACGGCCCAG